CCCUUAGACGUUCUGGGCCGCACGCGCGCUACACUGACACAGGCAACGAGCUUUCCUUUACCGAAAGGUAUGGGUAAUCUUUUGAAACUGUGUCGUGCUGGGGAUAGAUCCUUGCAAUUUUUGAUCUUAAACGAGGAAUUCCUAGUAAGCGCGAGCCAUCAACUCGCGUUGAUUACGUCCCUGCCCUUUGUACACACCGCCCGUCGCUACUACCGAUUGAAUGGCUUAGUGAGGCCUCAGGAUCCGCGCUUAAUGUGUGGAGAAUUUGGACAAACUACGUCAUUUAGAGGAAGUAAAAGUCGUAACA
rnacentral:rRNA from 1 species